AACCGUGCAAAGGUAGCGUAAUCAUUUGUCUAUUAAUUGUAGACCAGUAUGAAAGGCACAAUGAGGGUCCAUCUGUCUCUUAUAAUAAAUCAAUUAAACUGAUCUCCUAGUAAAAAAGCUAGAAUAUUUACACAAGACCAGAAGACCCUAUGAAACUUAAACUAAACUAUUAAACCCUAUAAUACCUACUUUCGGUUGGGGCGACCUUGGAAAGAAAAAGAACUUCCAAAUAUAUGACCACAACUCACACACGGCCCACAAGCCUCCCACAGACCCAGCAUAGCUGAUAAUUGAACCAAGCUACUCUAGGGAUAACAGCGCCAUCUUCUUCAAGAGCCCAUAUCAAAAAGAAGGUUUACGACCUCGAUGUUGGAUCAGGACAUCCUAAUGGUGCAACCGCUAUUAAGGGUUCGUUUGUUCAACGAUUAAUAGUCCUACG
rnacentral:rRNA from 1 species